GUGUGUGUGCUUGGACUUUUACUUUUUGGAAGAGAAAUAUUUCCAGAAAAAAACAUUAAAAAUUUUUUUUGUACUACCCCAAAAAUUAAUGUAAUAAUUUUUUUUUUCGACUGUUUUUGACAUUUUUUGUUGUAAAUUAUAAUUAGAAAAAAAAGCGAAAUUUGUUACAUAUUGGACAUAAAAAUGAGCAAAAAAUCUAACAAACUAGCUGAGUUACAAAAAUUUUGAAAAAAAAAUUCCAAAAAAUUUUUUUUGUUAAUUUAUUAAAUUCUAAACAAUCUAACUACUCAC
ensembl:ncRNA Y39A3CL.8 ncRNA